GACGAACGCUGGCGGCGUGCUUAACACAUGCAAGUCGAGCGGAAAGGCCCUUCGGGGUACUCGAGCGGCGAACGGGUGAGUAACACGUGGGUAACCUGCCCCUUGCUCUGGGAUAACUCCGGGAAACCGGGGCUAAUACCGGAUACGACCACUUUAGGCAUCUUCGGUGGUGGAAAGUUUUUCGGCGAGGGAUGGACCCGCGGCCUAUCAGCUUGUUGGGUGGGGUAAUGGCCUACCAAGGCAGUGACGGGUAGCCGGCCNGAGAGGGCGACCGGCCACACUGGGACUGAGACACGGCCCAGACUCCUACGGGAGGCAGCAGUGGGGAAUAUUGCGCAAUGGGCGAAAGCCUGACGCAGCGACGCCGCGUGAGGGAUGACGGCCU
rnacentral:rRNA from 1 species